GACGAACCGUGCGAACGUUGUUCGGAAUUACUGGGCGUAAAGAGUGUGUAGGCGGUGCUCCCAGUCUGUUGUGAAAUCUCCCGGCUUAACUGGGAGGGUGCAGCGGAAACUAGAGUGCUAGAGGGUGGGAGAGGUAAGCGGAAUUCCUGGUGUAGCGGUGAAAUGCGUAGAUAUCAGGAGGAACACCUGUGGUGUAGACAGCUUACUGGACCACUUCUGACGCUGAGACACGAAAGCGUGGGUAGCAAACAGG
rnacentral:rRNA from 1 species